GACGAACGCUGGCGGCGUGCUUAACACAUGCAAGUCGAACGGAGUGGCGAACGGGUGAGUAACACGUGGGUGAUCUGCCUUGCACUUCGGGAUAAGCUUGGGAAACUGGGUCUAAUACCGGAUAGUGCAAGAUGAGCUCGCGGCCUAUCAGCUUGUUGGUGGGGUAAUGGCCUACCAAGGCGUCGACGGGUAGCCGGCCUGGGAGGGUGUACGGCCAUAUUGGUACUGAGGUACGGGCCAGACUCCAACGGGACGCAGCAGGGGGGGAUAGUGCCCACUGGUCGGAAGCAGAGUGAGGGGGCGCGGCGUGGGGGAUGAAGGCCUUUGGGUUGUAAACUCCUUUGGACAGGGACGCGGGACCUGUAGAAGAAGCACCGGCUAAUUACGUGCCAGCAGCCGCGGUAAUAC
rnacentral:rRNA from 1 species